ACGGAGGAUCCAAGCGUUAUCCGGAUUUAUUGGGUUUAAAGGGUGCGUAGGCGGCUUAUUAAGUCAGGGGUGAAAGACGGUGGCUCAACCAUCGCAGUGCCCUUGAUACUGAUGAGCUUGAAUACACUAGAGGUAGGCGGAAUGAGACAAGUAGCGGUGAAAUGCAUAGAUAUGUCUCAGAACACCAAUUGCGAAGGCAGCUUACUAUGGUGUUAUUGACGCUGAGGCACGAAAGCGUGGGGAUCAAACAGGAUUAGAUACCCUGGUAGUCCACGCCCUAAACGAUGAAUACUCGAUGUUAGCGAUAAACAGUUAGCGUCUAAGCGAAAGCGUUAAGUAUUCCACCUGGGGAGUACGCCCGCAAGGGUG
rnacentral:rRNA from 1 species